CCGCAGGGCCUCUCCCUCCCAGCCCGAGCUGGUGUGGGAUCAGUGAGCAGAGCUAGGGCAGCCUCAAAGCACAGCUGGAUGGAAGCAGGGCCCCAGAGACAUCCUGGCUAUAUCCUGAGUUUAAGGACUAAGUGUCAAUAAAAGGAGAAUUUUGGGGUAGUUUGGCUUUGGUUUGGUUUUAUGACAGGACAGAAGACUGUACUAUCCCACAGGAGACAAGGUGAUGGUGAUUCCUGGCGUGUCUGCAUGGAAUUUGUAAUAUAAAAGAUGGUCACUCCCAGGUUUGCUGCACCCAGAAGGGUUCACCGGGGAGUGCUGGGGAUGGAGAAAAGGCCUGUUUAACCCCACAGAUCAAGGGACACAGAGGCUGAUUGCAAACGCCUCAGCAUCUUGCCAGGGAUUGUCCUUAGAGCACGGUGGUUUCUGCUCUUCUCCCUCGAUGUAACCCGUGUUCUCAGCCAGGAGAGGGAGUCAAAGAUAGUUGGACAAACAGUGGGAAUCCCAGGGAUCUGCGGUGGGAAGCAAGGCCCUUCUGCAGCAUACAGAUUUGUUUCUCUGAUUUAUUUCUGUGCCAAUUGUUCACCCUUCCAAAGUAGCAAAUGUUUCAGUGGCACUGUACCUGGUAAGAGAUAUGCCAGCAUGGAAACAAAUGGAAUGUCACAGGUGUCCACCUGCAGAGAGCUGCUUGGGGAAGGGGAAUGCAUUCAUUCCAGCUUGUGCUCAUACAAGAGAUUUUGUAUUUCUCCCAUUUCCAUUCAUUCAGCUCCUGGGCACAGAUACCUGCAGCACAGGUGGGACAGAGGCAGCCAGGUGUGUCCCAGGUGUGUGCUGUGGAGAUGGAUCUGUGGCCUCCCAGCUGAAGGGAUGACAGAAUUUCCUGGAUCACCUGAUCACCAGGAUCACCUAAUUGCUGAUCUGAGGAAAGGCUUCAAAACACCAAACAGGAAGGAGAGCUUUGUCCUUGUCCACUGCAUCAGAAGGGAGAAGGACAUGCAGCACCACAUGCUCACACCCCUCCCCAGCUGAGAGGAGAUGAACCCCACCAACUCUGCCACUCCAUCAGGUCCAAACCUACAGUCUUUGCAGGAGUUUUCGUCAGGAGCUGUGUUGUGACCUUGGGAGCCACACCUGGAGCCCCGUGGGGAAUCCCUCCCUUCUCAUGUUCAUCUCUCCUAUCACUUGUGAUUCAUACCUUUCUCAGCUCUCUCCUGAGUGCUCCCAUGCUCUGCC
rnacentral:lncRNA from 12 species